CUACGGGGUGCUGCAGUGAGGAAUAUUGCACAAUGGGGGGAACCCUGAUACAGCAACGCCGCGUGGAGGAUGACGCAUUUCGGUGUGUAAACUCCUUUUAUAUGUCAAGAAAAUGACGGUAGCAUAUGAAUAAGCACCGGCUAACUCCGUGCCAGCAGCCGCGGUAAUACGGAGGGUGCAAGCGUGUACUCGGAAUCACUGGGCGUAAAGGACGCGUAGGCGGGUUGGAAAGUCAGGUGUGAAAUCCUACAGCUUAACUGUAGAACUGCACUUGAAACUUCUAAUCUAGAGUAUGGGAGGGGGAGAUGGAAUUAGUGGUGUAGGGGUAAAAUCCGUAGAUAUCACUAGGAAUACCUAAAGCGAAGGCGAUCUCCUGGAACAUUACUGACGCUAAGGCGUGAAAGCGUGGGGAGCAAACAGGAUUAGAUACCCGAGUAGUC
rnacentral:rRNA from 1 species